UGCAGUCAAGUCAAAUUCAGCACCUACUCCUAUCAUAGUGGGGGGCUGGCUCAGAUGGCUGUCACAGCAAACUCUGCCAUAGUAGCUCAUAGGCCCCUGGUCCUCUGAACUGGGAGCUGAGGAUCAGUUGGUUACAGACACUG